CUGACACAGGAAGCACCUCUAGUGACCGUCUGAGUGUCUGUCACUAGGAAGCAAUGUAAACACUGCCUUUUCUCUAAAAAGUCAGUGUUUACAUUGAAAAGCCUGCAGGGACAGGCUAUAGACACCAGAGCCACUACAUUAAGCUGUGUGUGUGGGCUUGCUUGUGUGUUUGUGUGUGUGUCUACUACUGAGUGAGCUUGUGUUUUGGGUCAAUGACCUUAUGUAUAUCAGUGAGAUUGUUUGUCUAUGAGGCUUGUGUCAGUGAGAU